rnacentral:rRNA from 1 species
GUCGAGAAUAAUUCACAAUGGACGAAAGUCUGAUGGUGCAACGCCGCGUGGAGGAUGACGGUCUUCGGAUUGUAAACUCCUGUCAUCCGGGAGUAAGACCUGGCUGUGAAUAGCAGACAGGGUUGAUAGUACCGGAAGAGGAAGGGACGGCUAACUUCGUGCCAGCAGCCGCGGUAAUACGAAGGUCCCGAGCGUUGUUCGGAAUCACUGGGCGUAAAGGGAGCGUAGGCGGCGUGGUAAGUCAGAUGUGAAAUCCCGGGGCUCAACCCCGGAACUGCAUCCGAUACUGCCGUGCUAGAGGAUUGGAGAGGUAGCUGGAAUUCUUGGUGUAGCAGUGAAAUGCGUGGAGAUCAAGAGGAACACUCGUGGCGAAAGCGAGCUACUGGACAAUAUCUGACGCUGAGGCUCGAAGGCCAGGGUAGCGAAAGGGAUUAGAUACCCCAGUAGUCC